AUUCUACUCCCUCCGUUGCACAAUACAUGCCUUCUAUUUGUCAAAAUAUAUAUGUAUCUAGACAUGUCUUAGUAUAUAGGUACAUCCAUUUUUGGACAAAUGGAAGUCAAGUAUUUUGGAACAUAGGGAGUACACA
rnacentral:pre_miRNA from 1 species